rnacentral:rRNA from 1 species
UACGGAGGGUGCUAGCGUUGUUCGGAAUCACUGGGCGUAAAGGGCGUGUAGGCGGUCUGUUAAGUCUGGUGUGAAAUCCCCCCGCUCAACGGGGGAACGGCGCCGGAUACUGGCAGACUCGAGUACCGGAGAGGAAGGUGGAAUUCCCGGUGUAGCGGUGAAAUGACGUAGAUAUCGGGAGGAACACCGGUGGCGAAGGCGGCCUUCUGGACGGAUACUGACGCUGAGACGCGAAAGCGUGGGAGCAAACAGG